ensembl:lncRNA
UCAUUUGAAUGAAUUAAUAUCCAUAUUGUUUAGACAUUUAUUAAAAUAUCAUCACUUUUUUGAAAUCUGUUUAUUCAUGUAGUAACCUCUUCAACUUUGUGAGCUAUUUGUUGAACCUUUCUUGUUAUAUAUGACUAUGAUGUAUUUGAGGAAUGGACAAUCUGAGUGGUUGUUAAUGUUAGGCAGGACCUUUUUAUUUGACAGAGCAAUGAGAGCCAGUGCAAUCAGAUAUCACAAUUCUCAAUUGUUGAAUAAAGUUAUGUAGUAAUCCAACACCCUUAAUGAAGAUUUAAGAUUGAGAUUGUCCAGAUAUGGUUUCUUUUAAAAUCCAACAUGCCAUAAAACAAAGACAAAACAACAAAAUAUCUAUCUAUUUUGUGUCCAGUUACUCAUGGCCUGCAUCCUAGCUGGUUCCAUUUCAUUCUCUGUCAUCAAGCCAGUUCCUUCACAACAGCCCAAGGAACCAAAACAUGGGAAUGCUGGGGCUAUCAGGUAACAUUCCAAUACUAUGGUAACGGAUUUGGUGGUCAUGGGAGUUUUGGAGACACUGGAAAGAAGUUGGUUAAAAUUGCACAAAGAAAUUCCCAGUUUCGGGAGAAGGUAUCUACAAUAGCAGAAAGGGACUGAAUGGUACAGGAACAGGCUUUAUGGUGAGUAACCAGAGAAUAACCUGGAAAUGAGGUUUUUGAUCUUCUUCCAUUAUUAUUAUUAUGACUGUUGAGAUGAGGUAUGAAGCACAGCUGAGGCAUUCUUUAGGGUUUCUUAUUUAUUUAUUUUACAUAUCAUUGUGCACAAUGGGUUUUCUACUCCUAUAUAUUAUUUAAUAACAUUUAAUAACCGCCAUUGAAUAAGUGUAUUUUUUUUUCUUUCCUCAUGGAAAAAAACCUGAAUCUCGCAGGUGGUCACUGUAAUGAAAGAGAGAGUCGAGUAGAAACAGAGGUCGUUCAGGCAGUGUUGGUGGUCGGGUUGCAGUGUGGCUCACAGACUUUAUGGGGCAGUCGAGUCGAUCAGCAGGAGGAUGUAGAGCGGGUAGCAGAGCUGCUUGCACAGAAACCUGACAUUAAAGUGGGCAUUAAAGAGGCCCUCUGCUGGAAUUCUUCUCAUAAUGGAGACCACCUUACACAGCUAUAUCUACAAAAAUACAGUAUAUAUUUUAUGAACACUUGGAUGGUCAUACUGAUUGCUAGAGUAAACAUCUGGCCAUUUUUGGACUGGUUUAAAUACUAGCCUUAUUUGCGGUUCAAGAAUUUUUAUAGUCAACUUUUCCAUCUUUUGUCUGUUGGGAACUUUACAUUUUUUACUUUGCAACUUUAGGAAUUUUAUGACAUACAGUCUAUGAAUGAAAAUAAGCAUGGAACUGAAGCAUCAGCCAUUUUUCCAGUUCAGAUCACACUACUGAAAAACAGUCCAGGUGAGAGUUGUGAAUUCCUGCAGACUCAGACCAGUGUGUUUACACCAUGUGCUGGUUACUUUAAGUGCACACUGUUCUAUCUCUUAUCUUUGUAUAUGAUCAGCAUUAAUCAUGGGUUAGAUAACUUCAUAACUCUUCCCUGACCCCAACAAUUUAAACUCUCUCAUUCCCACACCACUCAAAUAUUUUGUGUACAUAAUGAGAUUUUUAUUUUAUUUCAUUUUUUAAUUUUAUUUUUUCUUAAUUUGUGUUUGGAACACAUUUUAAUGUUUUUGAAUGUAUGUGGUCAGUUAAAAGCUGAUGAUAUGUCUAUUCCAGCAACCGUAGAUUAUAGUUAGUUAAAAUGCAAUUGAUUAAAGCUGAAUACAUAAUCACAAAAUACUGUCACAAUUUUAUACACUAUGGAAAUACUACCUGAAUGUUAAUGUAUAAUGUUUGCAGAAUGUUAAUCUGCAAAGAGAAAGGGCAUAUUGUCUUUUACCAGAGUUCUCCAAAUCCAUAAAAGUUACAUACUACAGCUUUAAGUGAGUUAAGUUAAGACUAGAAAACAACUAUAUACACUAUGUCUGUUUUGCGUUCCAGAUUUACUCAUCCCAACAUUCAAUAUUCACUAUACGAAUAUAUCUUUGCAGCAGCUCUGACACUUAACUCUAAGAUUAAGAUUAAAUUUUAACAAGAUUAACUUUUAAUCACUGUAGUCUUAAAAAUAUGUACAUACAUAUUAUGAUUUCCUUGAUUUAUGCUUAAUAAUCCAAAAGGAAAAAAUAACUUUCCAUUAAGAUUUCUUUCACCCUUACAAAUAUGGUCCUUUCAAAAAUAUGAUCUAUUCUUACACCAAGAGGGUAAAAUGUCACAAUGGAGACAGAGACUCUUGCUCUGCUUUAUUCUCGCUCUGUCUGUCUUUCUCUCUUGUUUACUUUGCCUUGGC